GACGAACGCUGGCGGCGCGCCUAACACAUGCAAGUCGAACGGAGCUGAGAGAAGCUUGCUUUUCUUAGCUUAGUGGCGAACGGGUGAGUAACGCGUGAGUAACCUGCCCUGGAGUGGGGGACAACAGUUGGAAACGACUGCUAAUACCGCAUAAGCCCACGAUCCGGCAUCGGAUUGAGGGAAAAGGAUUUAUUCGCUUCAGGAUGGACUCGCGUCCAAUUAGCUAGUUGGUGAGGUAACGGCCCACCAAGGCGACGAUUGGUAGCCGGACUGAGAGGUUGAACGGCCACAUUGGGACUGAGACACGGCCCAGACUCCUACGGGAGGCAGCAGUGGGGGAUAGUGCACAGUGGGGGAAACCCUGAUGCAGCGACGACGCGUGGAGGAAGAAGGUUUUCGGAUUGUAAAGUCCUGUCGUUAGGGACGAUAAUGACGGUACCUAACAAGAAAGCACCGGCUAACUACGUG
rnacentral:rRNA from 1 species